CUCAACGGAAUCAUCGUGAAGGUUACCAGAUGUCGUCAGACCGUAGAAGAUAAACAGGUUUGAGCCUGGUUCGUACUUGGAUGGGUGACUGCAACAGAAUACCAGGUGUCGUCGGCU
rnacentral:rRNA from 1 species